rnacentral:rRNA from 1 species
GCGAUCCCAGGUCAGGCGGGGCUACCCGCUGAGUUUAAGCAUAUCAAUAAGCGGAGGAAAAGAAACUAACCAGGAUUCCCUUAGUAGCGGCGAGCGAACCGGGAGGAGCCCAGCAUGAAAAUCGUUCGCCGUCGGCGGUCGAAUUGUAGUCUGGAGAAGCGUCCUCAGUGACGGACCGGACCCAAGUUCGCUGGAAGGCGGCGCCGGAGAGGGUGAGAGCCCCGUCGUGCCCGGACCC